CGGGGCGUAGCGCAGUCUGGUAGCGCAUCUGGUUUGGGACCAGAGGGUCGUAGGUUCGAAUCCUACCGUCCCGA
rnacentral:tRNA from 1 species